UCAAAACAUAACUAAAACUCUAAUUUGUGUUACAAAAAAAUAAAUAAUUAAAACUCUAUUUUUUUCAGACCAUAACCUAUAAUAUUAAAAUUAAACUUAAAAUUUAGUCUUUUAUUGUUAAGUUAUAACUUACAAACAUAAACCUUAAAUCUUCAAUCAAACUCCAUACCCUAAACCCUAACUCCUAAUAUAAACCAUAUUUCCACUUAAUAAAAACCUGAAAUCUAAAUUUUAAUUCUUUAAAAGAAAAAACUUUAUACAAGUGUGUUAUAGUAAAAAAAAGAAAUGUUAUAGAAACUAAAAAGUUAAAUAAAUAAAUAACAAAACACAAUUGACAAAAAAAAAAAAUAACAAAACACAAACAACAUAAAUGUUUUUUUGGUUAAUAAACACACAAAGGGACUGAAAAUAUGAACCACUAACAAAAGUGCGCGGAUCACCAUCUUAACCGUUGAUAUACUUUAAUCCAAUGGUCAGAUUUAACCCUUUUGUGUUUAUUCUCUUGUCCCUCUCUCUCCUCUGUCGUAACUUUUUCUCCUCUAUCUCCCAGUUUUUUUUAUUCUUCCUCUGUCAACCUCUACCACCGAUUUUCCUGAUUUCUUCCAUCUUCAUCCUCUUAUCUCACUGAUUUCUCUUUUCCAUCUCUCUCCCCUGUCGAACUCAUGAAUUUUGUGACUUUUUUGUUUAGGGGUUUCACUAAGCUUAACAAAGCAGACUUUACUAAGUUGAGGCAAGAGAAGCGUGUUGCUCCUACGUCCAUCUUCUCCGACUCCCUCUUUCUCUCUCCCACGGCUCCAUGUGUCUCCAUCUCCAUACUGGCUAUGUCAAUGGUAGAAGAAUUGAACGUGUGAAGAAGAACCAGAGGAGGUAUGCGACUGGCGUAAGCGAAUAGAGGUUGUGGAGGCUGGAGUAAGAGAACAAAGGCUUGAGGCGGAUGCUCUAGAGGCUGGAGGCGCUGCAUGCGGAGGCUGGAGGCGGACGCUCUGGUAGCGGCGGCUUAUGUUUAGGUUAAGCUUAAUUAUGUUUUGGUUAGUUAAUUAGUUUUAAACCCGGUUUGUAUGUAAACUGGUUUAAUUUAUAAACUGAAAACAUUUGUAAUCUUCUGGUUUAAUUUGUAAACCGAAAUCAGGUGUAAACCAAAUUUUUAAUAUCAACCGAAAUCAUUUGCAAA